rnacentral:misc_RNA from 1 species
AACGCAUCUUGCGCUCCUUGGUAUUCCGAGGAGCAUGCCUGUUUGAGUGUCAUUAAAUUCUCAACUCUCCUAUACUUUGUUGUAAAGGAGGGCUUGGAUUGUGGAGGCUUGCUGGCCGCUUGCUGUGGUCGGCUCCUCUGAAAUACAUUAGCAGAACUGUUUGCGAUCUGCCACAAGUGUGAUAAAUUAUCUGCACUGGCGGGGGAUUGCUCUCUUGUGUUCAGCUUCUAAUCGUCUUCAGUGACAAUUUAAUUGAAUACUUGACCUCAAAUCAGGUAGGACUACCCGCUGAACUUAA